GAGCAGCAUGGCGGACCCCUGAUCUUGUGGCGUGCCACCAAGUGAGGCCGAGGAGCUCCCGCAGACCAGUGGGCGUGCCGUCUUUUAGAGGGAUUUUUGGAGACCUGUCUUUGAUGGAAGCAUCAAUGAUUGAAGAUCAGCAGCAGCAUGGAACCCUGGGCCUAUUUGGAGAUACCAAGUGAGUCCAAGGAGCUCCCAGAGGCAAGUUGAUGAUGGCCUAUUGAGGGGAUCAUGGAGGCCUGGUGAUGGUUGAAAUGGACCAAAAAUUAGGCUUCAUAGGGAUGAGUUUAUGGGGGAUUUUAUUCCUUCUCCUUGAUAUGUGCUGUGAAGGAAAGUAUUAGAAGUAAUUCUACCUUCCAUCCUCAAGGACCAGUGUGAAUUCUAAUACCAGUAAGUGUUGUCCUGAAAAUAAUCACAUUUCUCCUAGGGAAUCAUAACAUUCCAGUGACAAUAAUACUCUGGUUAUGGUAGUCAGCCAAGAGGCUAGGUCAUUGGCUAUAAUUGGUCUCCAUAAUUGAAGAGCUUUAGUCAGUGUAUCCCAGAAUUAUAGAAUCCUGGGAGCUCAGUGUCUACCAUAUAUCUCAGGACCAAGAUCUCUUUUACGAAUGUGCCUGGAUCAAUGACGACUUCAAAAAUGGAUCUCAUUGGAAUCUGAACAAAAUGAGUGAAAAAAUCAUUUGUGUGACUGAGGUCCAGCACAAGAGACCAUGCCAGGCAAAAAUUUGGGGGUGAGGCUCAGUUUGAUCAGCUAAUGGUGCCAGUAGGGACCAAAGUAAUUGAACGCUAUCCUGAUUGCAUACAUUAAGGGAAAUGAACUAUACAGAGAUCUGUAAAUAUCUUAGGAAUGACAUGACAAUUCUGUGAAUGCUUGGAUGGCAGUAUAAUAAAUAGAUCCUGGAGAACCAGCUCAAGAAUGGAGAGAUAGGUAGUAAAUUGUUAUGCCUACCUAUGAGCCAUUCACAUAUUUUUCUUAGGUGCCAAAAUUUUCAGAAUGAGGUCAGUUAGGUAUUCAAAGCAAAACAUAAGAAUGUUUACUUUUGUAUCUAUUAAAGUAAAAGAAACAUGGAAAUUGAGGAGUAGUUCCUAUUUGUCAAAAUGUCUCCAAAAAUGUUUUAAUUGCCUUACUGAUGAAGUCACAAGAAUUGGAAGUGUUUUUUUUUUUUUCUCUAUCACUCAAAGAGGAAUUUUUUAGACAUUUUUGUGAUAGAUUCAAAUAGAUGCUAUAUUAAACACUUUUAAUUAAAAAAUGAUUACAUUUCCAAUUAUUGACAUUUUAGGCAGAUUCCCAAUAUUCAUAUUGUGUUAGUGGGUUUUAUAGUGUUGAAGGGGAGAUCCUAGGAUUAGCACCUGAUGCCAAGGGAGGGCUUUGUGGAACCUUUGAGACAGGUCUUGCGACUUUCAGUGUUACCCUGGUCUGAGUAGUGAGCAUUGUUUUUUUUUUCUUCUUAUACAAUUAAGUGAGUAUCUAUGGCUUAUUCCUUAUAAUCUGUUAUUAUUAAACAUUCAAUUAUGAUGGUUUUGUUUGUCAAAUUUCCUAAUUUCCCAAAAUAUGUUGUAGAUUAGAAGUGAUAUUGGAAUUGGAUGGAAUUCCUACCACCACUCCAAGGAACUGCUGUUUUUGUCACUUGUACUAGCUCCCUUCUAUGGAAAUAAUCAGAACAAUGCAUUCUGGAGUUAACAUUGCAACUUUUAAUAAGUGUGUUUUCCUGGGUUUUUAUAUUGUUUGUUUUUAGCAGACCAGAUUACAAAUGCUGUCUUAGAGUCUGUUGAUCCAAGCAAUGUGAGGCCUUUAAUAAUCUGGGUCUUUGGAGGCUUCUGUGUAAUUUUUCCCAUGACUUUAAUGCUUCCUCCAUUUUAUAUAAUAUCAGAAGACCCUACUAGAGAAAUAGUGGUUUUAUAUUCCUGUACAUAAUAAACAUUUUCGUGUCAUGCAUGGUUAACAUAUGAACUCAUAUACUUCUCAUCUUUCCAUAAUUUUACUCUAGGCUAGCAGAUUAACUAAGAGCUCAAUUUCAUAUAAAGAUUUUAUUCUUUUCCCUGAGACAUGAAAUGAAGGAAGGUAUUGGAAAACAUUAUGCCUCUCAUCCUUAUGACAUCUUUAUGAGCUAGUGGGAAUUUUCAUAGUGGUAAGCACUUUGCCCUGAACAUAGUGACAUUCCCCUCAGGAAUUCCUGCAAUGAUGUUGAGACUUUGGCUGUGCUAGUCAGCCAUGGAGUCAUCAGUGAUGCUGGCCUCCAUGGGGAAUAGUGUGGGCAAGGGUGUCCCAAGGAGAUGGAAGUCUAGAGCUCAGUGUCUCCCACAUGUCUCAGGAUCAAGGUCCCUUGUAUAUAUGUGCCUGGAUUGAUGAUGACUUCAAAAAUGGAUCUCACUGGAAUCUGAACAAACUGAGUGACAAAAUCACUCAUGUGAACUGAAGUCCAGCACAAGAGACCAAGCCAAGCAGAAAUGUAGAAAGGGUUCAGUUUGGUCAGCAAGUUGUUCUCCCCACCCAAAAGGACUACAGUACUGGAAAACUAAGAAGCUGGCAUACACUAGAGGAAAUUAAUUGUACAGAGACUAUAACUAACCAUUGUGGGAUGACAGUUCUUUGAGUGAUUGGCAGGCAGCAUCCCUACAACCACAGUAAACAAACCAUGGAGAACCAGCACAUGAAUAAUGACUACUGUGGGAAACAGCUGUGCUUACACUUGAGCCAUUCAUACAGUUUCCUUAGAUGUUUCAGUCUUCUCUGAGGAUCAUUAUGUUUAGGUCUAUUUGACAGUCAAUUAGAAAGAAAUUCGUUUUUGUGUGUCAUUUAUCUCUUAAGUAAAAGAAAUAUGAGAAAAUCGAAGGUUUGAUUAGGUUUAUUAUAUUAUCUUAUGGCAUGUUUUAAUUUGCUUGCUAAUCCACCAAAAACUUUUAAGAACAAGUUUUUGUGUGUGUGUGUGUGUCACUCAGGGAGAAAAUUUCUAGAUAUUUGAUGAUGGAUUAAAUUAAAUAUUUCAUUAAACAUUUUAGACAUGAGAUUAUUAAAUAUCGAGUUCUUGGAAUUUUGUGUAGAUAUCUUUGACUAAUAUUCAUAUUCCUUGAAUGAAUGUUUUGUAUGUUUAAAUAAAAGUUAUGAUUUUAGUAAGCAGUACUCAAGGGGAAUUUGAGGUCAACUUCAAGACCAAGGUCUUAGAAAAACUGAUUUUCUAUACUACCCUUUUCCAAGGAAAAAAUAUAAUUUUUCUAGUUAUAUAGAUGGUCAAGUUAAUGUCUGUGGUUAAUUCCUUGUUAUUUUUUAGCAGUUAGCAUUCAGUUUGGAAGGUUUUGGUUCACAACUUCCUUUAUUUUCUCUGUACUUUAAAAAAUGGAAGUGACUUUGGAAUUGCAUGGAAUACUCACCACCCUAAAGAAGUGCUAGAUUUUUGUGUUUUCACCUGUUCCCUUUUUUGGGAUGGAACAAAACAAUGCACUUCAAAGGUAAUAACCAGUGUUAAAUAAAUUUUCUUUUUAUGGCUAAUUUUUAUUAUAUUCUUGUAAUCAAGUAGAAAAUUGGUUCUGUGAAGUGUCUGUUAAAGCAAAUAAUGUGCAUUAUUAAUUACCUGAUGAGUUGUUCAAUAUUUUGUCUCCUUUAUUUACAAGCUUUUUAUGCUUUCUCCCUUUGAAUAACAUCAGAAACAUUCUACUAAAAUAAUUUGAGUAUAUGUGAUAUGAAGAUACAUUAUAAACCCUCCUAUCUUGCAUAUGUUUAACAAAUAAACAUGGAUACAUCUCAUUUUCCCAUAUUUUUACUCUGUUUCCACAGGUAUGCCACUAGCUGAGUUUUGUAUGAAAGCAUAUAUUCCUUUUUCUUGCAAGGUGACAUGAAGGAAAGUAAUGACAUUAAUUGUACCAUAUCAUCCUGAAGAGGCAGUAGAAGCUGUAACAUCAAUAAGCAUUUUGUCCUGAAAAUACUGGCAUUCCUUUAGGGCAUUGGAACACUCAUAUAACAACAAGACUCUGGCUGUGCUAGUUAGUCAUCGAGCUGUCAUCAACUCUGAUGACUCCUUUCUGUUAUUGAAUAUCAUGGAUCAGUGUGUCUGAAGGUGGUCAGCAAAUGUAUAUAAUUAAUUCCUUAUAAUCUAUUAUCAACUAAUAUUUAAUUUGGAAGGCAUUUUCCCCUCAACUCCUCUAAAUACCUCUGCAAUUUGCAAGUUAAAAGUAAUAUUGGAGUUACAUGAAAUUCUUACCACUUCACCAAAGAAGAGCUACUUUUGUCACUUCUACUUGCUCCCUUAUCUGAAAAGAAACAUAAUGAUGCAUUCUCAAGAAUUUCUGCAUAUUCUUUGUCUUCCUACUGAUGCCUCAUAUAGGAAUUAGGCAUGGAGGUGAUGACAAGGCUGUUCCUCACCCAUAUGGCAGACAGAAGUUGUUUCUACUGAGGGGCAUGCUUGCACAAAUGUCACUGAAUCCUCAGCAAUAUGGCCUGACUGGAAGUUAUGUAGAACAAAAGAGACAUUUUGCUGCUUGGAAUUUUCACUGCCACCCCCAGAGACGUGCUAUUUUUGUCACUUGUACCAUCUUCUUUCUCUGGGAAAAAUCAGAACAAGGCACUCCAGAGGUUGGCGUGGACCAAAAACUGGGUUUCAUUUGGACGAGUUUAUUCUUUCCUCUUGAGAUAAAACUAUGAAGGAAAGUAUUGGGAAUAAUUCGGCCUCGCAUCUUCAAAGGCCUGUGUGAAUUCUCAGAACGGCAAGCAUUUUAUUCUGAGAAUACUGGCAUUCUUUUAAAUAGCUGCAAUGUCCCAGUGACAAUGAGAGUCUGUCCAGGUGACAGAGCUUAGAAGGAAAGGGAAACCAUCUAUGCUUUUGUCUUAACUCUCAAAUGCCAGCUCUGCAGAAAGUGACAACUUCUCUGUAAGACCCUUCCUACUUGUGGUCCUUUGGACAUCCUUGAAGGAGAUGACUUCUUGGGAACCCUUUUGAGAAUGAAUGACAUCAGCAAAUCCCUAAACAAGACUCUUCAUACAGAGCAUUUCAUCUACCUAUUGUCCAAGGGCUGCCCUCUGAAGGUGAUGGCCACAAAGAUGAGGUGGAUUUGUUACUCUGGAUACCAUUGCUUCUACCACCAGCUUCUCCAAAUCUACGACAGUCUUCCUCAGGCAUGGAAACUCUUCUCUUUCCUGUGUUGCAGUGGAUACCUCCUGCAGAUAAGAAAUGCUUAACUGAGAAAUGCUCAUGUUGGGAUAUCAUCGAUGAGACUUUAAUUUGGGCAUGGUGACUGUUUCCCUUGCUUCCACUUGACUCAAUCCCAGGAGCCUCAGUAGAGGAAAUAUUAUUGCACAAGAAACUCAAAAUGGUGGAAUUGCUCAGUGCUCCCAUAAAAAUACAUUUAUAAAUUUCAUUUGCCAUGUGGUAAAUUUAAAGAAUAAGAUCUAUUUUUUUUCAAAAAUCAAAGCAUAUCUAAAAUAUCUAACAUAUAAAUUAAGCACCCUCCUUUCUCCUAAUACUAUCUCCCAAAGUUUUUCUCUACUAAGGGAGUUGUGUGCAUUCUUUAAGUGGAUAGAUGCGCACACACACACGUUAUUUUUAGGGGGUUCUGGAAUUGGAGCUAUAUUGUACACAUUAUUCUGCAAAUUGCCUCAUUUAACAAUUUUUUCAAUGCCCUUUUUCUGUUUCACUACUACAUAUCUGUGUCAUUUGUUGAAUGACUGCAUGACUGUUUUGUACAUGAAAUAUAAUUAAACAUUUUAAG
rnacentral:lncRNA from 1 species